rnacentral:rRNA from 1 species
AGCAGCCGCGGUAAUUCCAGCUCCAAUAGCGUAUAUUAAAGUUGUUGCAGUUAAAAAGCCCGUAGUUGAACUUCGGGGUUUACCCAUUGGUCAGGCUUAAUUGUCUGUACUGGUGAGAUAAAUCUCUACCUUCUGAGGAACUUUCAUGUCAUUAAUUUGGUGUGAUUGGAAAUCAGGACUGUUACUUUGAAAAAAUUAGAGUGUUUAAAGCAGGCUAACGUCUGAAUACAUUAGCAUGGAAUAAUGAAAUAGGACGGACUGAUUCUAUUUCGUUGGUUUCUAGGAUCACCGUAAUGAUUAAUAGGGAUAGUUGGGGGCAUUAGUAUUCAAUUGUCAGAGGUGAAAUUCUUGGAUUUAUUGAAGACUAACUACUGCGAAAGCAUUUGCCAAGGACGUUUUCAUUAAUCAAGAACGAAAGUUAGGGGAUCGAAGACGAUCAAAUACCGUCGUAGUCUUAACCAUAAACUAUGCCGACUAGGGAUCGGACGAAGUUAAUUUAUAAUGACGCGUUCGGCACCUU